CUUAAGUAAGUCCCUUUUAGGACAUCAUAAAAUGUAAACGAUACGUAGAAGAUUAACAUGCCUUCUGCACGAGAAUGAUUACGUGUAAAAUAAAAACAAUUUUUUUUU